rnacentral:rRNA from 1 species
AACGAACGCUGGCGGCAGGCCUAACACAUGCAAGUCGAACGCCCAGUAAUGGGAGUGGCGCACGGGUGAGUAACACGUGGGAAUAUACAUUUCGGUAAGGACUAACGUAGAGAAAUUUACGCUAAUACCUUAUAAUGACUACGGUCCAAAGAUUUAUCGCCGAAGGAUUAGCCCGCGUUAGAUUAGGUAGUUGGUAGGGUAAUGGCCUACCAAGCCUACGAUCUAUAGCUGGUCUUAGGGGAUGAUCAGCCACACUGGAACUGAGACACGGUCCAGACUCCUACGGGAGGCAGCAGUGAGGAAUAUUGCGCAAUGGGGGAAACCCUGACGCAGCCAUGCCGCGUGAGUGACGAAGGCCUUAGGGUUGUAAAGCUCUUUCAGAUGUAAAGAUAAUGACGGUAACAUCAGAAGAAGCUCCGGCUAAAUUCGUGCCAGCCGCCGCCGUAA